rnacentral:rRNA from 1 species
UACGUAGGGACCGAGCGUUGUCCGGAAUCAUUGGGCGUAAAGAGCGUGUAGGCGGCCACUUAAGUCCUGCGUGAAAUCUUGCGGCUCAACCGCAAGCGGUCGUGGGAAACUGGGUGGCUAGAGUGCGGGAGAGGAGAGUGGAAUUCCCGGUGUAGCGGUGAAAUGCGCAGAUAUCGGGAGGAACACCGGUGGCGAAGGCGGUUCUCUGGGCCUUACCUGACGCUGAGGAGCGAAAGCGUGGGGAGCGAACAGG